rnacentral:rRNA from 1 species
CCUGGUGGGUAGUUUGACUGGGGCGGUCUCCUCCCAAAGAGUAACGGAGGAGCACGAAGGUGGGCUAAUCACGGUUGGACAUCGUGAGGUUAGUGCAAUGGCAUAAGCCCGCUUGACUGCGAGAAUGACAAUUCGAGCAGGUGCGAAAGCAGGUCAUAGUGAUCCGGUGGUUCUGAAUGGAAGGGCCAUCGCUCAACGGAUAAAAGGUACUCCGGGGAUAACAGGCUGAUACCGCCCAAGAGUUCAUAUCGACGGCGGUGUUUGGCACCUCGAUGUCGGCUCAUCACAUCCUGGGGCUGAAGUCGGUCCCAAGGGUAUGGCUGUUCGCCAUUUAAAGUGGUACGCGAGCUGGGUUUAGAACGUCGUGAGACAGUUCGGUCCCUAUCUGCCGUGGGCGUUGGAAGAUUGAAGGGGGCUGCUCCUAGUACGAGAGGACCGGAGUGGACGAACCUCUGGUGUUCGGGUUGUGUCGCCAGACGCAUUGCCCGGUAGCUAAGUUCGGAAUCGAUAACCGCUGAAAGCAUCUAAGCGGGAAGCGAGCCCUGAGAUGAGUCUUCCCUGAUACUUUAAGUAUCCUAAAGGGUUGUCGGAGACUACGACGUUGAUAGGUCAGGUGUGUAAGUGCUGUGAGGCAUUGAGCUAACUGAUACUAAUUGCCCGUGAGGCUUAACCAUACAACAC